rnacentral:rRNA from 1 species
AAUACAUGCAAGUCGUGGGGCAGCAUGAGUAGCAAUACUUGAUGGCGACCGGCAAACGGGUGCGGAACACGUACACAACCUUCCGUCAAGCGGGGAAUAGCCCAGAGAAAUUUGGAUUAAUACCCCAUAAUAUAUUUGAUAAGGCAUCUUAUUAAUAUUAAAGCUUCGGCACUUGAUGAUGGGUGUGCGGCUGAUUAGAUAGUUGGUGAGGUAACGGCUCACCAAGUCUACGAUCAGUAGCUGAUGUGAGAGCAUGAUCGGCCACACGGGCACUGAGACACGGGCCCGACUCCUACGGGAGGCAGCAGUAAGGAAUAUUGGACAAUGGACGCAAGUCUGAUCCAGCCAUGCCGCGUGAAGGAUUAAGGUCCUCUGGAUUGUAAACUUCUUUUAUAGGGGACGAAAAAAGGGCAUUCUUGCUCACUUGACGGUACCCUAUGAAUAAGCACCGGCUAACUCCGUGCCAGCAGCCGCGGUAAUACGGAGGGUGCAAGCGUUAUCCGGAUUCACUGGGUUUAAAGGGUGCGUAGGCGGGUAGGUAAGUCAGUGGUGAAUCUCAGAGCUUAACUCUGAAACUGCCAUUGAUACUAUCUAUCUUGAAUAUUGUGGAGGUUUGCGGAAUAUGUCAUGUAGCGGUGAAAUGCUUAGAUA